rnacentral:rRNA from 1 species
UAGGGAAUCUUCCGCAAUGGACGAAAGUCUGACGGAGCAACGCCGCGUGAGUGAUGAAGGCUUUCGGGUCGUAAAACUCUGUUGUUAGGGAAGAACAAGUGCUAGUUGAAUAAGCUGGCACCUUGACGGUACCUAACCAGAAAGCCACGGCUAACUACGUGCCAGCAGCCGCGGUAAUACGUAGGUGGCAAGCGUUAUCCGGAAUUAUUGGGCGUAAAGCGCGCGCAGGUGGUUUCUUAAGUCUGAUGUGAAAGCCCACGGCUCAACCGUGGAGGGUCAUUGGAAACUGGGAGACUUGAGUGCAGAAGAGGAAAGUGGAAUUCCAUGUGUAGCGGUGAAAUGCGUAGAGAUAUGGAGGAACACCAGUGGCGAAGGCGACUUUCUGGUCUGUAACUGACACUGAGGCGCGAAAGCGUGGGGAGCAAACAGGAUUAGAUACCCCCGUAGUCC